ACCCCGCGGUAAUUCCAGCCCCCUACAGUGUAUAAUAGUUGUUGUUGCAGUAAAAAAGCUCGUAGGAGUAUCUCUUUUAUAAUAAUUUAAUAAAAAAAUAUUUUUGAUGAAUAUUUAUAUAACAUUCAACAUAAUUCAUAUUACUAUAUUUUUUUAGUAUAUGAAAUUUUACUUUGAGAAAAUUAGAGUGCUUAAAGCAGGCAUAUGCCUUGAAUACUCCAGCAUGGAAUAAUAUUAAAGAUUUUUAUCUUUUUUAUUGGUUCUAAGAUAAGAAUAAUGAUUAAUAGGGACAGUUGGGGGCAUUUGUAUUUAACAGUCAGAGGUGAAAUUCUUAGAUUUGUUAAAGACAAACUAAUGCGAAAGCAUUUGCCAAGGAUGUUUUCAUUAAUCAAGAACGAAAGUUAGGGGAUCGAAGACGAUCAGAUGCGUCGUAGUCUUAACCAAUGAACUAUGCCUUCUUGAAACAAAGUGG
rnacentral:rRNA from 1 species